GUUCACACUUAAAACAAAAAUGUCUGUUGGGGCCCUUAAAAUAAAAGGAGUUGUUGCAAGUUCACCUGAUUCCAAGGUUCCUUGUAGUGUAAUGUGAGUGUAUUAUUUGUGUGAAUGAGUGUGUACGUGAAUAUCUCCUCGGUGCUAAUCUUCAAUCAGGGUAGUUGGCUCGCCAUCUUUUACAGCAGGAAGUUGUCCUGAACCUCAGACUCUUCAGUCCUCUAAAAAACCUGACCUGUAGACAGGCUCACACAAUACAUUCAACACUAUCCAUUCUCAGAUGCAUCAUUAGGGAUAUCAGAUGUCAAAAGAUGUACACAAUUACAUCUUAUUCUGACAAAUCUUCAUCUCUAUUCAAUUCUCAAAUCUCUGUCUUUGUUGUACAACGUUCAAUCUUUAGUGUAUCAUUCAUGAGAACUAAAUAUUAAAGUGCUCACACAUUUACCUGUUCAUGUGAACAGUUUAAAUAAUACUUAUGGCAAGUAACCAUUAACAUACAAAACCAUUAAUUAUAAACAUCUGAACCAUGUGCAAAUAACAUAACAGUACACAUUUUGAGUUAGACUCAGAGGUAUUAAAGAAUUGUGCUUAGUUCACUCUUACACUAUAGGCCUAUUCAUGUCCGAGAUCUGCCCCAAAAAUUACCCUCUAAUUGCUUUAAACUCAGUUGGAAUAACAUAAAUGUCUUCAAUAAAUUGCACAAUACAAAAUAAACUAUUGUUUAUAUUCAUCACAUUCACAACAUAUCAAAUUACUAUUUUUUCCCUAAUAUCACCACUGCUUUCUUUCAGCACACGGAAAACAACAGGAAAAUAGCACCAGAGCAGCUAAAGAGCAAAUUUCUCACCGUUGCUCUGUGUAUCAAGGUGGAGCAUGCCGAUGCCGAACCUCGUAACAGCUCUCCGGAGGACAGGCAAGCAGUUAGCCUGCUAAGCACAGAGCUAGCAUUAGCAUGGACGACGACGGUAAGCGUCAAGCUAUCUUUUCAUCGGAUAAUUAACUCGUCUUACCGACGUAACUCUCCUUCGUUCAGCCACUUGGCUCCGGACCUCCACUGGGUAAG
ensembl:lncRNA